rnacentral:rRNA from 1 species
UACGUGGGUGACAAGCGUUGUCCGGAUUUACUGGGCGUAAAGAGCGAGCAGGCGGUCGAUCAAGUCGAGUGUGAAAGCCCCCGGCUCAACUGGGGAGGGUCAUUCGAUACUGAUCGACUCGAAGGCAGGAGAGGGUAGUGGAAUUCCCGGUGUAGUGGUGAAAUGCGUAGAUAUCGGGAGGAACACCAGUGGCGAAGGCGACUACCUGGCCUGUUCUUGACGCUGAGGCGCGAAAGCUAGGGGAGCAAACGGG